UCCUGGUUAACCCAGGCAGUCUCAUUAGAGUUCCCACCUUAAAUGUUGGCAACUAAUGAUAAGGGUUGCGCUCGUUGCGGGACUUAACCCAACACCUCACGGCACGAGCUGACGACAGCCAUGCAGCACCUGUGCAGCGGUCCUUUCGGAAGAUGACAUUUCUGCCACUGUCCCCUGCAUUUCAAGUCUGGGUAAGGUUCUUCGUGUACCAUCGAAUUAAACCACAUGCUCCACUGCUUGUGCGAGCCCCCGUCAAUUCUUUUGAGUUUCAGCCUUGCGACUGUACUCCCCAGGCGGUAUACUUAACGCGUUAGCUACGACACGACAGGGGUUGAGACCUAUCACAUCAAGUAUACAUCGUUUACGGCAAGGACUAC
rnacentral:misc_RNA from 1 species